UACAGAGGUGGCAAGCGUUGUUCGGAAUUACUGGGCGUAAAGGGCGCGUAGGCGGCCAUCUAAGUCAGACGUGAAAUCCCCCGGCUUAACCUGGGAACUGCGUCUGAUACUGGAAGGCUUGAGUAUGGGAGAGGGAUGUAGAAUUCCAGGUGUAGCGGUGAAAUGCGUAGAUAUCUGGAGGAAUACCGGUGGCGAAGGCGGCAUCCUGGACCAUUACUGGCGCUGAGGCGCGAAAGCUAGGGGAGCAAACGGG
rnacentral:rRNA from 1 species